GACUCGACAGCUCAAUGGGUAGAGCGGCGGUCUAGAUACCCGAAGAUGCGAGUUCAAAUCCCGCUCGAGCG